GAUGAACGCUAGCGGGAGGCUUAACACAUGCAAGUCGAGGGGCAGCGCGGGAUAGCAAUAUUCUGGUGGCGACCGGCGCACGGGUGAGUAACACGUAUGCAACCUACCUCGUACAGGGGGAUAACCCGGAGAAAUUCGGACUAAUAUCCCAUAAUGAUAUUGAGGGAGCAUCUUUUAAUAUUUAAAGCUCAGGCGGUACGGGAUGGGCAUGCGGAACAUUAGCUAGUUGGCAGGGUAACGGCCUACCAAGGCUGCGAUGUUUAGGGGACCUGAGAGGGUUAUCCCCCACACUGGUACUGAGACACGGACCAGACUCCUACGGGAGGCAGCAGUGAGGAAUAUUGGUCAAUGGGCGCAAGCCUGAACCAGCCAUCCCGCGUGAAGGAAGAAGGCGCUAUGCGUUGUAAACUUCUUUUCCAGGGGGAGAAUUUUUCCGUCGUGACGGGAAUUGACGGUACUCUGGGAAUAAGCAUCGGCUAACUCCGUGCCAGCAGCCGCGGUAAAACGUG
rnacentral:rRNA from 1 species